GAAGCCGCGAGGUGAAGCUAAUCUCAGAAAAUCAUUCUCAGUUCGGAUUGUAGGCUGCAACUCGCCUACAUGAAGCUGGAAUCGCUAGUCAUCGCGGAUCAGCAUGCCGCGGUGAAUACGUUCCCGGGCCUUGUACACACCGCCCGUCACACCACGAGAGUUUGUAACACCCGAAGUCGGUGGGGUAACCGUAAGGAGCCAGCCGCCUAAGGUGGGACAGAUGAUUGGGGUGAAGUCGUAACAAGGUAGCCGUAUCGGAAGGUGCGGCUGGAUCACCUCCUUU
rnacentral:rRNA from 1 species